UGGGGAAUAUUGGACAAUGGGGGCAACCCUGAUCCAGCGAUGCCGCGUGAGUGAAGAAGGCCUUCGGGUCGUAAAGCUCUUUAGGUUGGGAAGAAGGGUAUUGGCUGAAUAAUCCAGUACUUUGACGGUACCGACAGAAUAAGCACCGGCAAACUCUGUGCCAGCAGCCGCGGUAAUACAGAGGGUGCGAGCGUUAAUCGGAUUUACUGGGCGUAAAGGGCGCGUAGGCGGUAUAGUGUGUGCGAUGUGAAAGCCCCGGGCUUAACCUGGGAAGUGCAUAGCAAACUACUGAACUAGAGUAUAUGAGAGGGUGGCGGAAUUUCCGGUGUAGCGGUGAAAUGCGUAGAGAUCGGAAGGAACGUCAAUGGCGAAGGCAGCCACCUGGCAUAAUACUGACGCUGAGGCGCGAAAGCGUGGGGAUCGAACAGG
rnacentral:rRNA from 1 species